UUUAAUUGAAGAGUUUGAUCAUGGCUCAGAUUGAACGUUGGCGGCAGGCCUAACACAUGCAAGUCGAACGGUAGCAGGAAGUGCUUGC
rnacentral:rRNA from 1 species